GGAGCUCACCUCUUCUAGGCUGCUGGCUGCGUACAGGGCUCUGAAAGGGGGGUUUAAAUAAAUUAAACAGGGUCUUUAAAGCACUGAUGGGACUGGUGAUGAGAAAUCCGUAUUCUCACAGCUACAAACACACCUCUGCAAUCUCACAGAGAGGCUUAUCUUAGUGAAGCAGUGAGGUAAUGCUUGAGAUUAUUAGAAACUAACCCCCUAGUGACCUGGUCAUCUUUUGACCCAGAGAUAUUUCAGCUGUGCCGACUGACCUUGUAAAACCAAGUGAUCUAAUUAUUGCCCUGUGAACGAGAGUAAAGGCCAUGGGAAAAUGAUAGGUCCAAGCAAUAUACUUCAUUGGAAUUCAUUGUGAAAUCACAAUUAGUUACAUCUAAUAUAUAUAAAUUCUGAUAAGGACGUGUGCUAAAGUUUAACACGCUUUAAACAUACGUGCUGCUGCCCAACAAAAGUGUUCCUGUUUUUUUUUUUUUUUCCUUCCUUCCAGAGAGUAAAGGUCAGACCCCAGAGCUGCUGUCUCCAGAGGUCUUCACUGUGAAAAGAGGCCGGCGCGCUCUCAGCUUUGAGGAGGACGGCAGAGGAAGGGGGUGGGGAUCACAGCGAGGACUGCGACCGGCAGCUAGAAGCGGAACUGCAACAGAUCCAACAGGACAUGCAGCGUUUCCAUGACGACAAGCUAAACCUGAAGUAAGGAUUUGUUUUUCUCUCUCUGUCUCAGCAGGCUGUUAACAUGUUAUAUGAUCCAUGAAUGAAUGUAAUUAAAACUAAAGCAGAGCCACUGAUACACAACGGGCUGCCUGAGUCAUCAGAUCAGAUUACCGUUCAUUUUCUGGCUUUAUCUCGUGCUGAGCGUUUGAGCAAUACGCAUCACAGAGCACACAGACAUUAUUUCUUCAGUAUCAACUUCAUUUAAACUUAAUUUCAGCUUUUUAUACAAGCUUUACAUUACAAUGCAUUCAAAUCAGUCAAUCAGUGAAACCCUGAGGGCACGCUUCCCUGCACCUCCCCACAGCUCAGGGCUUACAAAUAAACAAUCUUCAGCAGGCAAUGCUUCGGCAGUGGAUCACCUGGUGUGUGUUUCUAUACUUUCUUCUGUUGUACAGGACCUGGCACAAACAGGCUGACAUGCUGAGAGCCCGGCUGCAGGGAAAUGAGGAGGAGGAGGAGGAGGAGGGAGAGGAAGCCCAGCAAAUACAGCAGGACCUGGAGGAAGUAAGAGCAGGAUCGGGGAAUCCGAGAGAUGCACAAUGCAUUCUGAGCAAAGGCAAUCAAGAGUUUAUUUCCAUCCCUGCAGAAUACGACUCCCAUUGCAGAUUGAUCCAUUCCUGCUUUUACUAAAACACACCUGAGCUUGUUACCUAUAGACUGUGGCUGAUCACUCUCGUAGUAAAGCCUGGAAUGGGUGAAACUGCUAGGCAAUAGGAGUCAUAAUUCUAUCCCUGGUUCUGUGAAUUCCUAAAUAGAAUGUACAUGUGUGUGUGUGUGUGUGUGUGUGUGUGUGUGUGUAUAUACACACACACACAUUUUAAUUUUUUUUUUUUAUGCAUGUUAAUAACAGCAGAAAGAUGUUUCUCCUGCAGCUAGUCAGCAUUUCUUUUUAAUUUUGUUAAUCUCUCUAAAUAAAAAGGAUAUUUAUUUAGACGGGCAGUUCAGUUCCGACCCUGUGAUCAUUAUUAAACCCGUUCUCCACUUUCUCAGAGAGAGGCUGAAGCAGGAAAGACCUCAGACUGAGCAGCACGCUGCUCGGAUUAAAGAGAUUCGCAGCAUGCUGGCAGCGUGACCUCCCUGCCUUCCUCCAUCACAAACAACAAGCAAGCUUUUUCAGGACUGAGCUGGGAACGCAGUCGCAAUGGACGUUACAAUGGAAAUUGUAAAUUUGACAUGCUAAAUUAUUUGUUACCUAAUUUAAAACUGUUUAAAUAAAAAAUACAUAUUUGCACAUUGUCCCCCGACUCUUUAUAAGGUUAGAUUAUUAUUACUAUUUUUUUUUUUUGAAAUUCUUCAGAACCCAAAAAAUAAUGCAAAUGAAAACCAUCUAAAUGAAAAUUUACAAAACCCAAUUAAGAAUAGGCAUUUUUAAAUUUGUAUUAAUGACAUUUUUUUUAUUUAAAACAUAUGCAGUGUUAAAUGAGUACAUGAUUCAAGUAUUUUACAUUACAUAUAAAAAAUACUGCAUAACUAACUUGAAAUCACCCAGUGGGUUCUCUAGUCGGAGCUACUCAGCCUAGAAAGUUCUUAGCAUCAACCUGCCCCUUGUUUU